CCACACCAUUACAGCCUGCACACACCACCCACCUCCUCCCAGUCUCUCUCCUCAGCCUAUGAAGCAUUGUCUUCACCGCCCCAGAGUCAUCCUCUCAGCCUCCACAAGAGCUGAUGAUUAAUUGAAGCCAGCUGCUUGGCUCUCUCCCCUUCUUCCCACACCACUUUGCAUUCCUAUUAAAGCACAUGCACUGCCCCAGCAGUGUAUUUGGCUUUUUAGAGUGUGUAGCAGUGAUGCUGCUGCAGAAACAGGGCCAACUUUCACACUUUUCUUUGUGAGCCGUAGCUGUUUGGUUAUCAGAAAUUCACAAUGGCAAACUUAGUCUGCAAUGUCAUUGGCCUCAGAAGGUGGUAAUUAAAACAGCUUCUCCCCACCAAGUCGGUAUUACAGCAGAAGGCUGACAAUUUCCCGGAGAAAACAGCUGUGCUCCCACUAAUGAGCCUCAAGAUCAGCAAAAUGCGAUGCGUGUGCGCGGUUGUAGCUGCAGCUCUGCCAUGUGAGACCCAAAGAUAUUUUGAUAAUUCUUACUGGUAUUUCUUAGAGGUUUCUGUUUUUUCUACUGUUAUGAUGCCAACUCGUAAAAGUCUGCUCAUCACACUGUGAAGUUUUUCCUUUUUAUUACUUACUGUGAGCUGUUGCUAAUUCAAUUAGGUAACAGUGACAUAUGGAAUGGGUUCUGUCGGGAGAGGGCAAACUAACCAAAGUAUGGGCAGGGAAAGCAUGGGGCAGUGUGUUUCUGAUUUUAUGGAAGAAAUGCAUUUUUGUAUCAUGCAGUUCAAUGAAACAUUUUUCUUUUUUUACAGGAUGAAUUAAUUUUUGCAAGGCUGGAGCGGGAGUUUGAGAAAUGGUUUCAUUCCCUUCAUGUGGCAUAUUCACAUUUUCACAAAUUACUUUGCAAAUAACGGGCAUUCUUUAAUAGGGAGGAUGGAGGCUGGGUAAAUUAAAGCAGAAUUGUCAAGUA